GGGGGCGUGGUGAAGUGGUAUCACGAUGGUCUCCAAAACCAUCAUCGUAGGUUCGAUCCCUACCGCCCCUG
rfam:Candidatus Kaiserbacteria bacterium RIFCSPHIGHO2_01_FTLL_54_36b rifcsphigho2_01_scaffold_46069, whole genome shotgun sequence.